GAUGAACGCUGGCGGCGUGCCUAAUACAUGCAAGUCGAGCGAACAGAUGAGGAGCUUGCUCCUCUGACGUUAGCGGCGGACGGGUGAGUAACACGUGGAUAACCUACCUAUAAGACUGGGAUAACUUCGGGAAACCGGAGCUAAUACCGGAUAAUAUAUUGAACCGCAUGGUUCAAUAGUGAAAGACGGUUUUGCUGUCACUUAUAGAUGGAUCCGCGCCGCAUUAGCUAGUUGGUAAGGUAACGGCUUACCAAGGCAACGAUGCGUAGCCGACCUGAGAGGGUGAUCGGCCACACUGGAACUGAGACACGGUCCAGACUCCGAAGGGAGGCAGCAGUAGGGAAUCUUCCGCAAUGGGCGAAAGCCUGAAGGAGCAAAGCCGCGUGAGUGAUGAAGGUCUUCGGAUCGUAAAACUCUGUUAUUAGGGAAGAACAAAUGUGGAAGUAACUAUGCACGUCUUGACGGUACCUAAUCAGAAAGCCACGGCUAACUACGUG
rnacentral:rRNA from 1 species